rnacentral:rRNA from 1 species
AUACGGAGGAUCCGAGCGUUAUCCGGAUUUAUUGGGUUUCAAGGGUGCGCAGGCGGCCAUUUAAGUCAGCGGUUAAAUCGUGGGGCUCAACCCCAUUCUGCCGUUGAUACUGGGUGGCUUGAUUGCGGUCGAGGUUGGCGGAAUUCGUUGUGUAGCGGUGAAAUGCAUAGAUAUGACGAAGAACACCGAUUGCGUAGGCAGCUGACCAGACCGCAAAUGACGCUCAUGCACGAAAGUGCGGGGAUCGAACAGGAUUAGAUACCCUGGUAGUCCGCACAGUAAACGAUGAAUACUUGUUUUCGGCGAUAUAAUGUCGGAGGCAAAGCGAAAGCGAUAAGUAUUCCACCUGGGGAGUACGCCGGCAACGGUGAAACUCAAAUGAAUUGACGGG